UGAAAGGAGAUCCCGCGAGGAGGGGCCCAUCAGCGGCGAAGAUGGUGGGACACGUGGAGCAUUAUACGCCGACGAUCAGCGCCACCGAUAGUUCGCUCAAAUUUACUCAUGUCCUCUACAACCUCUCCCCUGCUGGUAAAUUCACUUCAGUCGUCGUCGUAGCUAGGUUAUUUAAUUAAUUUUCAAUUCAUUUAACGAAUAAAUUAUGAUUGGGGGUGCAGAGCUGUACGAGCAAGCGAUAAAGUAUGAGAAAGGGUCGUUCAUAACGGCGACGGGGGCACUGGCGACGCUUUCAGGGGCUAAGACUGGAAGAUCGCCAAGGGAUAAGCGUGUUGUUAGGGACGAUGCCACCGAGGAUCAUCUUUGGUGGGGAAAGUAAGCUCCAUUUCUAGUAGCUAGAUUAUAUUGGUGAUGAUCAUGAUUCCUGAAUUAAGUGUUUGGGAUCUCGGCAAACAAGUAACAAAUUUUAAAAAAUGGAAAUGGAUGCAGGGGAUCGCCAAACAUCGAGAUGGAUGAGCAUACGUUCUUGGUGAACAGGGAGCGAGCUGUGGAUUACUUGAACUCAUUGGACAAGGUGCGUACGUGUCCCUAAUUAAUUUUCUCAACUUUAGGAUUUUUCACCAUCUUCUUUAAUAUUCUGUUACGUGGCAUUUGAUCAUGGCUUCAUUCACGUAUGAGUAUGAACACCGUUUGAUCGAGAGUGACCAUAUGAUGGUUAAAAAUACUGAUGGCCGACCCAAAUUUCAGCCGUUAUAUAUGUCGUGUCACGUCAGAGUCUUACCAUAUAAUUUUCACUAUAUUGAAGAAAUCACGUCGUCCUAUAAUAAAUUAGUCCGUCACAACUCAGAACAUAAGUUUCUUUUAUAUAUAGAUAAGUGUAAAAUGGUUGAUUCAAGGUGGGAUCGAAAAGUGAGUGAAAUUGUAAUCGUAAAAUCAAAACGUAGAAAAUAAUGGUGUUGAUCAACUCUUGGGUAGCUAUUUGAAGAAGAAAAUGUAUCGAUUUUAGACUUUUGAUAUUUUUUAUUAAAAUAGUCCAAAUCUAUCUAUAAAAAAUAUAAAUUACUAAUAUCACUUUGCUUUUGGUUCUUCUAAACCAAAUCUUCUCCAAUACCGACAUAUUUCUUCCCCGACCAUGACUACCUACAGUUUGUAUCUCCAUCUUCUAAUAAACAGUAGAUUUUAGGCACUGGACAUGAUUAGACAGAAUUUGAUUCUAUCAAGAGUUUAGACAAAAAAUUUGAAAAACUUGUACAAAAAGUAAAGACUAUACUUGAUUAACAACUAUAAAAAACUGUACAUUCUCGUAGCCAGCUGGGGAGGGCCGUAGCUGGUGUAGCCUCCAACUUCCCAACAAGGCAACAACACAUACAGAUAGGAUGAUAUGUCUACUUUAUCUUCCAACACUUAUCUUCCAUCAUGAUCAAAUGGCAGCUUUCAGACGUCAUGUUUGGCUUAAUACCCUGCAUCCGAUAUAUGCUUUUCUAUUGGCUGUUGUAUACAAACCGUCACCUUUUCCAUUUGCGCGUCCGUCCAAAAUAACAAGAAGAUGGUAUGGAGUAUGGAGGCACUGCCUAGUUUGGGGCGCCUUAUCUUUCUCCCAACGUUACCACCAUCCAUCCCACUUCCCACAUGCAUAUAUCUUCAACGUAUAAUAAUAUAUAGUCCUGACCAUUGCUUAAUUAUAAUGUUGACAUAAUGAACCGAUCAACCAUGUUAUUAUAGAAUUUAUUUGCAUCAUUGCUUAAUUGAAUUCAUCAAACUUGCAUGCAUCUUUGACCUUUUCCUUGACACUUGUGAUUUUCCUCUUGCUACAGGUGUUUGUGAACGAUCAAUUUCUGAACUGGGAUCCAGAACACAGGAUCAAAGUCCGUAUUGUUUCCGCCAGGGCAUAUCACUCCUUGUUCAUGCACAAUAUGUUAGUCAUCACUCAUCACACAGAUGUGGUUUCUAUUUCCAACGUUGAAAUAUUAAAUUAACUGCGUGGGGUUUUGGUUUACAGGUGCAUUAGACCGACGCAGGAGGAGCUGGAGAACUUUGGGACACCAGACUUCACAAUAUACAAUGCAGGGCAGUUCCCCUGUAACCGUUACACUCACUACAUGACCUCUUCAACUAGCAUUGACAUGAACCUCGGGAGGAGGGAAAUGGUGAUUUUGGGAACCCAGUA
rnacentral:lncRNA from 1 species